AUCCUGGCCGAAUCCCGAACCGAAUCCUGGAUUCGGUGCAUCCCUAAUUAGAAGGAUUUAUGGACUAGAGCAAAGACAUCCGUUUCUGUGCAGCUUGCCACUUAUUUGAAAAACGAUUACAGCGCAAGAAUGAACGAAAAACGGAAUGAAGAAAUGCUUGCUGGUCUCUAAUCGUCAGGCAUGAAGCGACAGCUUGAUAUUUCCAUCUGCCUUACCUCAGAAUGCCGGUGCCGACGCAAGAUGUUAGAAUGUCCGGCACCCAUCUUGACACUCCUGUAUGAGAAAAAAAAGUUAGUAUAAGUGGCUGCUUCAGUGGAGAUAAAGAAUACAACUGUUUGUAGCUGCUGGUAAACUUCAAGCUCAAGACAAGCGCCUCUCUGUAACCUCACUGCUACACAUCUGAGCAGAAAGUCACAUUUUCCCCAUAAUCCUCAGCGACAAAGAAGGUAAAGAAGACGAUUAAUCAAGAAGUGAGACUGAAGUCUAGAAAUAAACAGCAACCGUCCAAUUUCAUUUUUGGGUAUCUUGAUGCAGAAAGUCACAUUUUCCCAAUAAUCCUCGGCGACAAACAAGACGAUUAAUCAAGAACUGAGACUGAUGUCUAGAAAUAAACAGCAACCAUCCAAUUUAAUUUUUGGGUUUCUUGAUGCAGAUAAGUGUUCAGUCUCUUUGUCUUAAUGAUACCUACCUACCUGCUGGCUGAUCUAGAGGAAGAUGAAACCUCCAUCUGAACCUUGUAUUUUUCCCAUUGCUAAAAGUCAACCAACCCUUUCUUGAAGCUGCCUAAUAUGUGCCAGAACAGCUGCUUCAGGGAGAGAGAAUCCCAUAACUUCACACAUUAAUAAGAUAUUUUCUUACUUUAAGAUGGAACUCCCUUUGUAAUCUGAAUGGAUCCCUUAAAUCUCCUGGAAGGAUCUACUGGUGAAUAAAGCAUUGUGCUAUUUUCACCCAGUUGUAUGUUUCUGCCUCCCAUUGAGCUUGCUGGAUUAACAAGAACCAAAAUCUUAAUCACACCAACAUACCCAAAGCCUUAAGGCUCCCCCCAUUCCCUAGCUUUGGGUAGAAUGCAGAGCUCAUAUAGUUAUUUGGUAACUAUGAGAAACAGUAUAUAUAUAUAUAUAUAUAUAUAUAUAUAUAUGUGUG